rnacentral:piRNA from 1 species
UAAAUACGACUACAAAUUCAA